CGACCCUUCCCUUCGGGGGAUACGGCCACGGACAGCCGGGUCGACUGCCGA
rnacentral:sRNA from 1 species